rnacentral:misc_RNA from 1 species
AAGUCGUAACAAGGUUUCCGUAGGUGAACCUGCGGAAGGAUCAUUAUCAAACGUUAUCCACGUUUAAUAACCAAUCGUGAACUGUUUUACUGCCUCCAACAGAUUUUUGAAUGAGUUGCUUUCAUUUGACGUCCAUUUUUUGGGAACUGUUGUUUCGAUGACAGUUUUUGAAAAACGGAGAACCUCUUUCAUUGAAAAGUGGUUUUUAGGUUCUAGUCAAUGUGAUUGCCUACAGUACGGCUGCAUUCAUCGCUGUUGGUUGUAAUUUUAAACUGCUUUUUUCAUAUUUACCAUUUCAACAAUACCUUUUCAAUAACAAAAUAUUGAACUGAAUUGUUUCAUAUUUCCCUUUUGCAAAAAAAGGAAAUUGAAAUGAAAAAAUACGAAAAAUUAUAGAACAACUCUUAGCAACGGAUAUCUUGGUUCUC